AUUCCAGCUCCAAUAGCGUAUAUUUAAGUUGUUGCAGUUAAAAAGCUCGUAGUUGGAUUUCGGGCGAGGUCGGCCGGUCCGCCGUUUCGGUGUGUACUGGCUGGUUUCGUCUUUCUGUCGAGGACGCGCUCCUGGCCUUUACUGGUCGGGACGCGGAGUCGGCGAAGUUACUUUGAAAAAAUUAGAGUGUUCAAAGCGGGCAUACGCUUGAAUAUAUUAGCAUGGAAUAACACUAUAGGACUUCUGUUCUAUUUUGUUGGUCUUCGGAACGGAAGUAAUGAUUAAGAGGAACAGUUGGGGGCAUUCGUAUUUCAUUGUCAGAGGUGAAAUUCUUGGAUUUAUAGAAGACGAACUACUGCGAAAGCAUUUACCAAGGAUGUUUUCAUCG
rnacentral:rRNA from 1 species